GCAGGCUCCUACUGAACUGCCUUGUGUUUAUGUAGCACUUGGUGGUCAAGAGGAUGCCAAUAUAAACUCUUUCACUGAUUGCUGUUCAGUUUAUAAAUGGCUGUCUCAGCAUCAAGGGAAGAACAUUU
ensembl:snoRNA